UUUAAUAUAAUCCUAGAUUCCUAGAUUUAUUGAUCCCCCCAAAAUCUAAUAAACUCCUCAAUUUCCUCAGCAAACAAGAACAAGAACUCAGCUUUCACACACACAAUUUCAUCUAGUGUGUGUAAGCUGCUGCUGCUUUGCAAAUUUCAGCUGAUUGACCGGCGAUGCGUUUCACUUUUGGCGGCGCCCAAAACCCUAACAUGUGAAAUCGCCAUCCUCACCUCAAAAAGACCCAAUCUUGAACCCUAAUUCCAGCCCCAACAAGAAAAUGCGCGACCCGGACGUGUAAGAAAAUUGAUGAGAACCCAGGACUGGAUGAGCAUUUGGGAUCAUGUAUGAUUCUUGAGGAGUUGCAUUUGAGGAAGUGUCACAUGCAAGGCAAGCAGGGUGUGAAGGCGUUGUUUGUAGUUUGUCGGAGUAUUAGAGAGCUGGUUCUUGAGGACUGCUGGGGAUUGGAUGACAGUGUCUUUGCUGCUGCCACUAUUUUUAGUGGCUGCAUAAUUGAUUUUGCAAUACUGAAGUUGAGUUGAACAUUACGAUAAACCAAGUCAAAAAUGAGGACGGUGGAAAUUUUGCGCUAACUGCAUAUUUUGAUGAUGGCAAGUUAUCUUCAGCAGGAGCAUAAGAUCUCUCUCACUGAAAGGAUGCUCAAUACUGACAACACAAGGACUAGAAUCAGUACUCCUUUCUUGGAGGGAGCUUGAUAGGCUUAGAGUAGUUUCGUGUAACAAUAUUAAAGACAGUGAAAUAACUGCAGAACUAGUGACCUUAUUUUCCCUUCUCAAAGAGCUAAAGUGGCAGCCGGAUUCCCGGUCAAUGCUAUCUGCUAGCCUUGCUGGUACAGGUAUUGGACAGAAAGGCAGUAGAUCUCUCAGGUGGAACUAACGAUCUAAGCCACGAUUCCACUCACAUGUGCUUGUAUCCAUUUUGUUUGAGUGUAUUGAAUACAACCUUUUCCAGGUGAAGCCAACAAUUUUUGGUUCGGUGCUUGAUGAAGAUAAAAGUACAUCCAACCCAAUGAAGUUUUCCACUUUCUCUCUGUAAACUUGCUUAGCCUCUUUAAUCAUAUACAGUUUCUACCCUUUAUGGUGUAUUUUCUCACUGAUAAUAGUGUAGAACAGUUAGGAGUUGAGAAGCUGGAGUUUUAGUGAUGACUUUAGAUGCAGACACAAAUUUUAGAAGCAUAAUCCAUGAAAUCAGUUGUGGUGGCAGAGCUUCUUGUAUUUGUUACAAUAAUUUGCUAAUUCAAGCUGUAUGAAUUCUUCUUAUAAAUGAAUGAUUUUUUUGUUCCCAAAA